AAUUCCUUCUGAAAAAAAAACAUCUUUUUUCAUACUACCUGAUAAGCAUCUUGAACACCAUGGCCACAGCAGCAGUAAAAUGGGUGAUAGCAAAGAGACCUAUCUUGAAACAUUUAUUUCCAAUCCCAAAUGGAGCUUUAUCUUGUGUUUGUCAUAAAUCUACAUAUUCUUCUCUACCAGAUGACUAUAAUUGCAAAGUUGAGCUUGCUUUGACAUCUGAUGGCAGGACGAUAGUAUGCUACCAUCCUUCGGUGGACAUUCCAUAUGAACACACAAAACCUAUCCCUCGACCAGAUCCUGUGCAUAAUAAUGAAGAAACACAUGAUCACAUGCUAAAAACCAGAUUAGCAGAAAAAAGUGAAAACCUUGAGCAAGGACCCAUGAUAGAACAACUUAGCAAAAUGUUCUUUACUACUAAGCACCGUUGGUAUCCUCGUGGACAGUAUCACAUUCGUCGUAAGAAACUGAAUCCUCCAAAGGACAGAUAAUAUUGAGGAUCUCCAGGGAAUCAGAGAGAAAUGCCCCUCAUUUGCCAUUUGAGGAAAUGUAAUCUGGUGUAUUCACUAAUAUACAGUAAAAUAGUAAUAAUAAAAU